rnacentral:ncRNA from 1 species
UCAAAGGUUAUGAGGAAGAGGAGUACACCAUAACAGCCAACAGAGAGGGAGGCCCAUGGGCUGAAAGGUAUCCCGGGUGGAUGGAUGGUGGAAGGUAGCUUCUGAACUGGGACGGUGAAGGAACCGGGAGUUGUGGCUCCUGGGUUUUGUGUAACUGUCUGACGGGCGGCUCCGUUACAGGCUAAAGAGAUUGCCGGAUGAAGAGGUGCUUCCGGCAGAAUAAAGGUGGUACCGCGAGUUAUUCGCCCUUUGC